CCAUCCCCUCCCUCCUGAUCCUCUCCAGGAAAGAGGAAAAAUUCUGAAGCAGCCCAGCCCUUGAAGGAAUGCGGUUCUUCACAUGCCUCAGAAGAGUCUGGCUGUGGCUCACCUUGUCUCACAGACACGAGAAAUGGCUGUAUGCCUGCUGAGUAAACGUGACCUUCUCAGAGCCAGAAAUCUGGUUUCUUCUCUUGAAAGUGACAGAAAAUCCAACCCAGGAGAGCAGAAGCGAAAGAUUGAUCUGCUCCUGUUGGCGAGAAGGCGAGAAGCAAGGCUCUCUGCCACACAGGGAUUGCCCUGGGCCGUGUGUCCCAGAAGCUUGAUUCCAAAAGCUUUUAUCUCACUUUGCAAAGCACUCUUGACCAUCUUGGGACGCUGCAGAGUAGGAGACGUCCACGGUCUCCUCCCAUCCGUCAGCCCUGGUGGCCUGCGCGCUCCUGUCUGUAACCCUAGAAGGAAAGGGACACUGAACAAAGUCUCCCUCCCUCCACAGCCUUCCCCAGAAGUCCAGGCCCUGACUUCUGCUGCAAGUCGUCAGCCAGAAGCAGGCCUCUGUGUGAUCUCAGGAAGGCUGCUGCUACUUUGGGAUCUGACAUCCACUCCUAGUCCAACCCAGGAGGAAAGGCCAGAUUCUGCGUUGCACUCCACCUCGCGUUCCUCCCUGGAACAGUUCCCGUGGCUGUGGAGAAUGGGAUCGCUUAGCUAAGCCGGACUCAGAGUACAGGAGAAGGUAUUACCUGAGAAGAAAAUCAAGGCAUAGUUCCCAAAGAAGCGGAAAUGGAUGCUGGUGGCCCCAAAUUAAACCCAAUAAAUCAUAAACAAAUAU